AUAAUUGAAUAUCAAUUUCGCGGUGAUUGCGGUUUAUUUGGAAACUUAGAAUAAUAGAAAAUGAAACUCAAUAUGUGUAUCGCUGUACGUUUAGUUUAAAACUGGAAUGAAUUCGCAUUAACAUAUGUACAAGUACAACUGAAACAUAAAAAAAACUCAACAAAGGUAAGAUCCGUAACAAUUACAUAUUGUAGAUAAAUAUCAGAGCUAAUAUGGGAGGUUGUUAACAGAAUUCUAUUUUAUUAUUGAAAAUGGAAUCGGGAGAACAUUCAGUAUUAUCGCCAACGAAAUUGUAGUAACUCAUUUAUUGUGGUAUAGAAACUACCUCAUUCUCGAAGUAAAAUGGAAAGAGAACUGAGACGGAACCAUACCCAUGUUCAUAACCAAAUAUGGAGCACUGAUUCUUUGUUCCCCACAUAUUAGAGAUUGGAAGAGGUUCUCAGAAUUUGUGAAGAAUCCGUGAAGAGGCUGAUUCAGUGCGAAUAUACCUCCAAACACAGCACUUAACCU